AGCUGCAAAGAUCUGAGGAGUUUAUGGACUUCUGAUAAAAAGACAUUCAUCAUUUCAACUUGGUUUUUAAAAAAGGGGAGUUCUUAGUGAAUUACUUUUUGGAAAU